rnacentral:rRNA from 1 species
CGCGUAGGCGGUGCGUCAAGUCUUGGGUGAAAUCUUUCGGCUCAACCGGAAAAGUGCCUGGGAUACUGACGCGCUGGAGGGAGAUAGGGGUCUUGGGAACUACCAGUGGAGCGGUGAAAUGCGUUGAGAUUGGUAGGAACGCCGGUGGCGAAAGCGCAAGACUGGGUCUCUUCUGACGCUGAGGCGCGAAAGCCAGGGGAGCAAACGG